ensembl:lncRNA
UUAGCAAAACAAGUGAAAGAUCUGGGUGCCAGGGGGUGAUUGAGGUUUCUUAUAUUGCCCUUGAUGAGAAUAUCAAUGUCAGUUGAGGCUCACACCUCAAGGACUGAUAGGGUUGUGCUUCUUUUCACUGCCUAUCCUAUUGGCCAACAGAAGUACCAUAUUGCUGUAAUUGUUUUGUUUUGUUGAGCAUUUCAGGAAGGCAGAUAAUGGAGUUUCAGCAGUUAACUGUAUCUAUCCCAGAAUUCUCUGAGGCAGACCCCUGGGUUUUGAUUCCAUGUGAAGGAAAGAGAGACAUCGAUGAGAAGAUACAGAUUCAGUGUUUAUGCCAAGCUUUGCCCACACUUAGCCCCAUCAUGAAAGCAUGGCUGGAUAAGCGGUGCAUGGGUCUGAUCCAAACCAGAGAACCCCAGGCCGCUGAAGUGGAACGCCCAAACUUAACCACUACACCACCAGGCCGGCCCAGAGAAGAUGUUUUUUAACCUAACCCAUGGAUAAAGAAAGUCCAAAUAAGUUUAGGAAACAAAGAAAUGAAGGUUGCACUGAAGAAAGUCCUGAGGAUAAAAUGAACAUAGACAAAUCUACAAGACACCAAGUAAAUCAUUGUCCAGACGUAAAAGAAUAAGCAAGAAAAACUUGAUUCACUCCUGCUAAUUCUCCAAUGCAUGCUUUAAAGAAGAUACUUUUCAGUGGGAUCCCUCAAUGUUUUAUUCUUCAACUAACCUGGGCAGAGUUACUAUGUAGCUGAUACAUACUACAUUCCAAGUGUAACAACAAUAUUUUCAAAAUGGACAACUCCAGUAGAUAGUGAUAUGAGGGCAUUAUAUCUGUGCUAUUUCAUACUGUUUCAGUUUUCAUUAUUGGGGAUGGGUGUGGAAUGUAGAACAAGACGAAUUAUCCCAGGUGAAUCAUUGUUGGUAUACUCAAGGCAUUGGCAUGUCUUUAGACAGUUCAAUAUUUUUAAAAGUGAAUAAAGAAUCUAAUUAAAGUGCCUAAUGGAUGCGGAUUUAGCAACAACUUUCUUAUCCCCUUGGCUCUUCAUGUUUGAGAAUCUUCCAGAUUAGGGAUAGACUGACAGUUUCAUGCUUAUAUAAGUGAUACAUGUUUUAACAUCAGAUAAAACAGUAGUAAUUCUUUCAACAAAGAUUUACUGAGCAUUUUCUAUGUUCCGGGCACUCUUCUAUGUAAUAGAGAUAUACUAUGACCAAAAUGGUCAAAACCCACUAUCCAUGAGGAGUUUACUUUUUAGUGGGGAAUAGACAGUAAAAAAAUAAAUAGAUAAAACACAUAGUAUACCAGAGAGUGAUAAGCACUGUGGAGAAAAGGGAAUAAGGGCAGGAAGGGUGGGAGAAAGGGCAGAAAUUUUAAAUAGCAUGAUCAGAGAAGGGAACGUUUAAGCAAAACCUUAAAGAGGAUGAAAGAAUGAGCCAUGUAGAUAGCUGAAGAAAGAGCAUUCCAGAUGGGGGAAGCAAGUUCUCUGUAAGAUCCUAAGGCAGGACUGUGUUGAAGGAAGAGAAAUUUUGGUCUGGCUGGAAUAGAGAGAUUAAGGGGAAGAAUAUAGAAGAUGAAUUCAAAGAGAAUGGACAGAGGGCAAAUUCUGCCGGGCCUUUUAAGCCAUAGUAAGGACAUUUAAUUCUGCAUGAGAUGGAAAGACUUUGGAAAGUUUGGAGCAGAGGAAUAACAUGGUCCUAUUUACAAUAUAAAAGGGUCAUCCCCAUCAUUGUUGUGUUGUUAAUAGACUAGAAAGAGACAUGGGCAUUUUAAAAGUCUUAUUUCUAGUUGUCAAAUAAAAAAAAUUGCUGCUUUUAAAACGAAUUUUUAUCUUAACCUGUCAUUGUGUGUAUAUAUUUGGGGAGGGAGACAAGCCAGGGAGCUCAUUUAGACUCUUAGACUCUAAGAAAAUAAAUUCUCAUUCUGGAAUGAUAUUUUCAUGACAAUCUUAAGAGAUAAUGGAAAGUUAGGAAUACACUCCUGAGGCUCUUGAACCACAUUUCAUCUUAUUAUGAUUAUAUAGACAUUUACAGAAUAUUUUCAUAUCUAUUAUCUCAUUUCAUUCUCAUAUUGGCCCUAUAGGGUAUACUAGAAAGGGAAGUAUGUAGCUUCUAUUUAAAGAAAUGAGCUCCCCAAGAUUUUAUGGCU